rnacentral:rRNA from 1 species
UACAGAGGGUGCGAGCGUUAAUCGGAAUUACUGGGCGUAAAGGGCGCGUAGGCGGCCUGUUAAGUCGAACGUGAAAUCCCCCGGGCUCAACCCGGGAACUGCGUCCGAUACUGGCAGGCUUGAAUUCGGGAGAGGGAUGUGGAAUUCCAGGUGUAGCGGUGAAAUGCGUAGAUAUCAGGAGGAACACCGAUGGCGAAGGCAGGUCUCUGGGCAUUAACUGACGCUGAGGAGCGAAAGCAUGGGGAGCGAACAGG